GUGAACGUGUGAUUUAAGGGAAGCGGCUUCAGCUCUGUGUUUAAACUCUGAAACGUAUUUCGUCUCCGUGUUUGUGCCGACGGCUGAUUGUUGUGGCGUUUGUUCAGCUGUCACUCAAACAUUGUGGGCGGUGCUUGACGUCAUCAGUCGUUGUGUAAUGUGGGACUUUGUUUAGGUGGAGCUACUCCCUCUGUCUGUGGAGCCAUGGAGGACGUGGUGAUCAAAUGUUGUCUUAUAGAUCAGCUGUGAAUAUGAAACUACUGUAUUACUGCAGAUCAAUAUUAUCACUACAGUAAUAAGGAGACAUGUUUUGUGUCUGUCGAGUGGGGAAAUGAAAGAACGUACAAAUGAAAGUCAUGAAAUGUGCAGUUUGAAGGAUUUAAAGGACCUUUGUGUUGCUGUAGUUUCCCAGCAUGCUCUCUGGUCUGUGUGUUGGUGUGCAGGAGGAUCCAGGUGGAGCAGAUGCAUCAACACAGAGGGGUCAAGGUGCGUUCACUGACCUGCUUCAACAGUAGGAGCAGUGACUGUUGAACUGUCUGUCAGUCUGUGUGUGUGUCUGGCUCCACCUGCUGCUUCUUAUUUUAAUGACUGACAAUCUGCAUCCAAUAACUUGUGCACUCUUUAAUAUUGAGCUCCACCUUCCAGAUACUGCAGUACUUCUUCUGUGAAACACAUCGACACACUGCAGCAAGUAUUCAUGUGUUCAGUGAAGACGAGCUCUAAUGAACUCCUGCAUGCUUUGAGAGGAGAGGACGCUGGCGUUGUUUGUUCACCGCUUCUCCGUCUGAAUUACUACCUUUUUUUAUUAUUAUUUAUUUUUUGCACCCCAGCAAGCUCCAAGUCAGGUGUUGACCUGUCUUUCAUUCCAACUGUUCAACCUUUUUCUGCUGUGACUACCUCCACGGCUGGGAUUUACUGGCUGCCCUCACUCAGCCAACGAGUGGCUGGUGGCUAACGCUAGCCGCUACAUCGCUCAUUAUGCUCACAUUUUCAACUUCACAGCUUCUGCAACUUAACAACUACACCAUUCCAUCCUGCAUCUCUGUUAUACAACAACUUGGACUCCUACGCCGACCCCGCUACAUACACCGUAGCACUCGCAGUAGGUUUGUUUACUUCCAGCACCGACAAUCCAUUAGAACCAUCUGGUCAGCUCCACGUACCGUCGCACAUCUGACACGUCAUCAGAGCGCACCCUCUACCACAACAUAUACUGGGAACACCACUUGACUGCUGCACUCCCGGCAGCAAAGAAAACCUGAAACUGACUUUCCCUCUCUCCGCCGUCUCACACCAACAACAUCUAUUCUAGACAACAUCAGACCUCUCCAGCCUGCCACCACCGCACCACCCUCCCUCUCAACCAACCUUGCCCUCCUCAACCUCCAGUCAAUCAACAAUAAAGUCCCCAUCCUGCACGAACUCAUCCUUGACAAAACCCUGGAUUUUCUUCUGCUCACUGAAACCUGGCAACAACCCAAUGAUUUCUUCUCCCUCAAUCAAACAUCCCCUCUGGGUUUUAACUACAUCACUAAACCCCGCCUCUCCCAUCGUGGUGGUGGCCUUGCUGUUAUCUACAAUCAGAACUUCCGGAUCACAGAACUCACCCUCCCCCAGUACCAUCCUUUGAGUUCCUUGCCUUCAAAGCCUUCUCCUCAAUGACAGUUAUUCUCAUUUACCGGCCUUCUAAAACUCAUCCCUCCUUCCUCUCUGAUUUUACUGAACUCCUCACACUAGCCUCAUCCAUCUCCCCACGCCUGUUACUGCUCGGUGACCUUAACAUCCACAUGGACUCCCCCACCUGCAAACUCUCAGCUGAACUCUCUACUCUACUGGACAAUUUUUCUAUCACCCAACAUGUCACCUUCCCCACCCACGACAAAGGACACAUCAUCGACCUUGUCUGCUCAACAAACCUCUCUUUCAACACCUCCUCACCCUGGUUCACACCCACACUUCGCAAAAUGAAAUAGACUGGCCGCAAACUUGACAAAAAAACCUCCCUUACAGUCCACCAAGAAGCCUACAAACUCCCUCACCGCUGCCAAGUCUGCUUAACUCUCGACCAUCUUCAAUGACCCCUCCCGGAAUCCCAGAUCCCUUUUCUCCACAGUCAAAAACCUCCUCCAGUCCCGUGCCAACAGCUUCACUACAUCUACUCCUGCUUUAUGCGACUCAUUCCUCCAGUUUUUCACAGACAAAAGGAAGUGUAACUGAGAGAAGUGAAAAUACAGAUCUAAGAGGAGACGGAGAGAUUCAGGGAGGAGCUCAGAUGUUACUGAACUAUAGAAGAGAGAGGAACUUCUAUAUUCAACAGAGUUCAACACACAAACCAUCAACAUUACCUUCAUUCAACAUGCUGUCACUGCAUCAUUGUGUGUCUUCUCUCAUGUUUCUACUUCUUCUAAAAGGUGUCAGCUGUGAAGAACUGACUGCUGACAAGAAAGAAGAGUACAGUUUAGAAGGCAGCUCUGUUACUCUCUCCUACAAAUACUCCAGAACUGCAGCUGGUGGUGAUCAUUUCUUCUGGUAUCGACAAUAUCCAGGAAAACCACCAGAGUUCAUCAUCUUUGAUUUAGCCCUGGGCUCCAUGGACAGCAUAAAGCCAGAGAGUAGUGAAGAACAUGUUGCAGAGGGCAGAAACAUCAACCUGACCUGUAGAUAUGAGGGUACUAUCAACAGUAUCCAGUGGUACUGACAAUACCAGAGAUCCAGACCAGAGUUCCUGCUCUACAUCACAGAGGGAGGAUUGAUUCAUUCAACUGUUUCUGAUUUCUCAGCUCACAUUGACAAGACACAGAAACGUGUUGAUCUGGAGAUCAUCUCAGCUAAAGACUCUGCUGUGUACUACUGUGCUGUGAGGCUCACAGUGACAGGAAACACCAGAACUCUGUACAAAAACCUUUGGAACAAAGACAACACAAUACUCCACAACAUCCACCAGAUGGAGUCACUCUGUUAAACGAUGAUACCAUUUCAACAAUGCAAAUAAUAUAUUUGAGUAACAUGUAAAAAAUCCAGAAAAAUAUGGAAGCUUGUGUGUUGGAAAAGACAGCAUGUAAAUAUAAAAAGAGAGGACCUAGGAUUGAACCCUGUGGUACACCACAAGAAAACACAACCUGACAGAACAGAGAAAUUUAUUUUCUAAUGAAAAGAAGAAAAGCAUUAAACAUCUGAGCCUGUAAUACCAACAUGUUUAUGGAGAUACUUCAUUCAAAUUGUGUGAUUGGUCAAUAGUGUAGUUAAAUAUAACGAUAAAUAUAGUGACACAAUGUGACUAUAUGUAAUAAUGCCUCAUCAUAACUGAAUGUAACAGCCAGUCCUCCUCAAAUUCAACUCUGUAGGUCAAUUGUUUUUGUGAUGAACUCUCAAACAUGUUCAUAACUGCCUAAAUGUUAAACUAUUUUUGACAAUAUGAUCAUUAAGUUUGAAUAAAUUAUUUAUUAUCCUAAAAAAGAACGUAGCAUUGAUGAACUAGGAAACAACAUAAUUCUAUUUUGCAAGCCUGUUUACAGAAUGACAAUAAAUGAUCCUUGAAUGA